CCUACGGGAGGCACCAGUAGGGAAUAUUGCACAAUGGGCGAAAGCCUGAUGCAGCCACGCCGCGUGUGCGAUGAAGGCCUUCGGGUUGUAAAGCACUUUUCUGAGGGAAGAGGAAGGACUGUACCUCAGGAAUAAGUCUCGGCUAACUACGUGCCAGCAGCCGCGGUAACACGUAGGAGGCAAGCGUUAUCCGGAUUUACUGGGCGUAAAGCGCGUGCAGGCGGUUUGGUAAGUUGGAUGUGAAAGCUCCUGGCUUAACUGGGAGAGGUCGUUCAAUACUGCCAGACUAGAGGACGGUAGAGGAAGGUAGAAUUCCUGGUGUAGUGGUGAAAUGCGUAGAUAUCAGGAGGAAUACCAGAGGCGAAGGCGGCCUUCUGGGCCGUUCCUGACGCUAAGACGCGAAAGCAUGGGUAGCAAACGGGAUUAGAUACCCCUGUAGUC
rnacentral:rRNA from 1 species